rnacentral:tRNA from 1 species
GCGGGCGUGGCGGAACUGGUAGACGCACUGGAUUUAGGUUCCAGCGGCGCAAGCCGUGGGGGUUCAAGUCCCUCCGCCCGCACCA